UUGAACUCUUGAAGAGAAAUUCUUAUUCCUUGCCCAGUGCUCUAACCACUGGGCCACAACGCCCCAAGUAACUUAAUACCGCAGGAUUCUAGUAGUUGUAUGAGUUCCUUAAUAACAAUAUCAAUCCCAGAUUGCAACCCAUCCAUGGGUGUUCAUCCCCUAUGACUUCAUCCUUUUCUCCAUUCUAUUCUAUAUCAUAAAAUUAUAGCUAACGGUGGGACAGAAUAGUGUGCUGUCCAUUGGCUCCUCUCCAGUCUCAUAUAGAUGAUCAUUUUUGUAUUUGGAAUAACAUCUCUUUCUCCAUGUUUGCAUAAUUCAUGGUUGGUGAAUCAUUCAAAUGCACCACUCUGCUCGCUUUUACUUUUUGCCAACAGUUCUUCAAAGACUUCCAUGGGCUGUGACAUUUAAGUGUAUAUUGCCUAGUAUCAUUGGGAGAACAUCUUUUUUAGAAGAAGGAUUCAAGAGGCAGCAGGACCUAGUGGAGGAGAAUGGCUGUGGAGCUGGGAAGACAUCCGUUUGAAUGCUUCAUCUCACACUUGGCAGUUGUGUGUCCCAGAUCAAGCCGGAUUCUCCCAAACUGCUCCAGUCCAUCCUUAGUUACUCCUAGUCUGAGCCAGGUGAAUGUGCUUUGGUCAGGACUUUGUUAAUCACAACUUUCUUCCACCAGUGAAAUCACAGCUCUGGCCCCCAAAUAACAAAGAAAAGAUGGUGCCUUUCUUUCGGAGGAAAAUGGAAUUCAAUAAAAGAACAAUGAAAGUCAUGAGUCUGUAGAAUGAUCCAUAGUUAUAGAAUCAGCAAAAUAUUAGCUGCAAUUGGAAGCACCUUGUCAUCACCUAUAGGGAGAGAGUCUCUUUGCAACCUGGACUCCGUGAAGAUCUUCACAACAGCAUCAAUUGUGGUUUAUAUUUCAUUUUAUUUUGAUAACUCCAUGGAUCAUUGGAUAAAACCUUAGGUUCUAAUGGAGAGAAACAUAAUGGAGGAACUGAGAAGAGGCAAAGGGAGAAAAGGUAUCCACUCAUUGAAGAGUGGAGAUAUCUAGAGAGUGAAUCUUCUGGGACUGAUCGUUCACAGUUGGAACCCCUCUUGAGAAAGUGAUGGAGGGAAGCAGACACCAGUCAUGAAACCAGGACCUCAUGGAUGGAAGGAAACUGAAAUGUCCUUGAGCUGAAGGGAAGGGGGUAAAUGGAUUGGAUCGCCACUGAAAAUUUCCCCAUUGAUCGAAUGACUCAAAACAGCCAAGUGGCAUAUUGUCAGAUGCAUAAAGUACUGGAUCUAGAGUUGGGAUUUCACAUCUGUCCUCAGAUACCUUCUAGCUAUGUGAAGGAUGGAGAGUUGAUUGGAGAAUGGAAAAACUAGGAAUGGAAGGUCAUUCUGGAAUCAAGAUGCCCUGAAGGCAACUCUGGACUGGGCAACAUGCUGGCAAUGGAACCAUCAACAUCCUGUCAAUGUUCUUAGGACUACUUUGAGGUCAUAAGUUACAGACCGCAUGAUAUAAGAAGAGGCGUGACUCUAGCAUCAGAGAAUCUGUGUUUAAAUUCUGCUUCUGAUAUCUUUGUGAUCUUGGGCGGUCUGUUCUACCACAGACUUCUCAGAGGGCAGGCGAGAAUCAAGUAAAACUUCUUGGGGCAGGGGCCCAGCAGCACAGUGCCCAUGGAAAUUCUUAUAAUCAGUGAUUACAGGAGUGAGCACAAGAAACUCAGCUUUCAGAAUAUCCAAAAAGCUACUGGUUGCUAGAUGAACUUUUAAGAUUACGUAAGAAGAAGGUCCCUGAAAUUAGACUCUUGGCUAUGAUGACUCACUGAAGUGUAUCUCACUGGAGACAUGUAAAUUGAUCAUUAUCCUUCACCUUACACAAUCUGGCUUUCUCUGGGAUGUCUACUGUCUCUAUGGCAACAUUCUCAUAUAUAAGAAGGAGGAGGUAAGAGGAGAGCAGCUCCUGGCAGCAACUGGAAAGUCCUGCUCCUCACUGCUAUGGAAACCAAGAUACAGGACAGAAGAGGAGCUACGGCCAAAUAGAAAUGUUUUUAAAUUUAUGGAUAGGAGUUCAACUGUCAGACUGCUCAGAUAUUUAAAAGGAAAACACCUAGGAAAUUCUGACUCUCUGAGAUUUACUCAUGUUAUCAUGGUAAUGAUCAAAUAGAGAAGAAAAUGAGACUGAAAAGGAAGUCCUUGCAAAUGCUGGUGUCAUCCAAACUCCCCAAGGAUGCGUCUCUUAGUAGUCUGUGAUCAUUAUGGGCAAUGGGGAGGAAGUACCAAGACAUUGGGAAAUAUACGAGCUAGAAAAGGGUCGGGAUGGGCAUUAUAUAUAUUUCAGGAAAGAGGAAGGAGCUGGCAUAUGAGAUAUUUCAAGAAGAAUAGAAACAAUUUAACAGGGUAACACUGGCAAGAUAGGAUUGAGAGAGAACAUAGGCACCAGAUCACCCUACCUAUAUUUUCCUUCUUUUCUCUAAACCUCCCAAUUUUACAAUAUGGAGGAAUCUCUCCCCAAAAGAUCUCUUCCUCUAUUCAAUUAAGAUUCUCAGAGUUGCCUGAAGCUCAGAGAGAUUAAUAGUCUGGCUCAUAAUUACACAGUUACCAAGUAUUUUAACUCAGGUCUUCCUGAAUCCAGGUACAGCCGUCUCUCCCUCCUAUCUGGCUCCUUAGAAUGGUAUAAACCGAAGACUCUAUGAUGAUAAUUGAGAUUUAUAUAGUCCUUCAAAAAAUUGUAACAUUCUCUUUUAUUCAAACAGAAAAAUCCUUAAAUUAUAAAUUCCAACUUUUUCUUUUUUUCUCCUGUUCCUUUAUUUCCCUUGAGAACCCAAGCAAUUUUAUAUCAAUUAUACACAAGAAGUUAUGCAAACAAUAUGUCCAUAUGAGCCAUGUUGCUGAGAAAAGCAAGAAAUAUAAAGAAAAUGAAACCAUCUACUUCAAUCUGCAUCUUGGAUCUCUCUCUGGAUAUGGAUGGAAUUUUUUCCC